ACAGUCUCAGUGAGUCUCUCGGUUACAGUUCAACAAUGAAUGAGGAAAAUGGCACAAGAUUCAGCGGGGAAAGACAUCACACAGACAGAAUGAGAACCACUCGACACACGAAGAUGUGCAGGAAUAGGUUAAAACGGGACCUUGCAUUGAUCUUUUGCUGAUGCAACCAAGUGUGAUGACGUGGUCCUGGCCGGAAUCAAGGAUUACAGCACCAGACUUUGGGUUUUGGUUUGACUUAAGCGUGAAAUAUCUAUAGCAUCAUGCUAAAACACUAGCCAAAAUGUUGCGCGUUCUUGGAAUUAACUAGUGUCACCUUUUGUCACCAGGCAUUGUUAAACAGGUGAGAACCCGUGAUUACCAUAAACUAGGUAACGGGCACAAGUUUGGCAUUUCU
rnacentral:lncRNA from 1 species